GAUAUAAUUUUGUAUCAGAUGAAGGGUAUGACAUCAUCGAGUCAUUUUAGCAAACAACGUCUUCUUCAUAUCUCUUCAGAGGCGUCCCCUAAAUUGCAAAAAUUAUCUUCACUUAACAGUUGUAUCUUUUCACUCUCAGGGUUUCACUGGAACGUCAUCAUCUUCCUUUAGGAGUUAUUUGUUUUUUUUAAUUUUAUAUAUUGAAGAGAUUGUAUAGUUUUUCAAACUUGUUUCAAGUUUUCGAUGGUUCUCUCUUCUGCUUCUUAUCUCCAUCCGUCUCCUUUUACAUUCAAACCCGUUAGUUUAAUUUUACGGCAGCAGAUCUUUAUGUCUAUAGCCCUCUCUGUUUUAGAGAUAUUUUCAGAUUCAGAUUAAGAUGGAUGGAGUGUAUAUUCUGGUGUUUUAAAAUCUUUCUGAUACGUGAGGAGGUAUUUCUUCAAGAGAACCAGAGGACAUACAAGUGAAAAUUACUAAUCAAACAAGGAAUCAGAGGAGCCGCAUCUCCAGAGUGCGCUACCGCCGACUACGGCUCCUCUCUCUGAUAGGCUGUGUCUCCUGUUCACUCCUCUUUGCUGCUGCUUCUUAGAUGUCCACACGAUCAGUAUUUUUGCUUAGAUGUCCUAUGGUUCAUUGUUUGUUUAUCAUUUCCCUUAAUCAUUGUUCUCCCAUCCAAUUUUAUUGUCCUACAUCUUUUUGCGUCACUUACUGUGGUUUUUUUUUUGUUAUGGAAACAAGUGACUCUCUCUCCAAAUUUUUUCCUGUCUGUUUUCACCACUACCAACUGUCACACUCUCUGAACUUUUCCCUUGUCUUCACCACACCGUAGUCUUGAUUUUUCUCUCGCCAUCUCUUCUUUUAUACGGUCUCCCAACCCACUAAUAUCCUAAUUUACCAUGUGGAGUUAUUUAAUAUGAGAAAACAUUUUUUCUUAAGAACUUAUUGAUCUUCUUUAGUACCGUUUCGCCAAAUCAAAAAGGUAAUUUUCUUGACCGAAUCAUCGUUGAAACACAAACAAAAGUAAUAUUUACAACUCCUAAACUUGUUUCAUUUAACAAGAGAUUCAAAGAGAAGGGUUAAGAUUUUCUGUCCAUAUGAAGCUGAUUGUACUAAGUUUGUUUUGGUCGUCGUCCACGUUAAAUGGAACAGAUGUGAUUUAACUGGUUGCAUAGAGUGUAGAUAUGUUUAGUCUAACGAGAGUAUAAGAUGUUUUCUUCUCACCGAACAAUUAGGGUUUAUUUCGCGCUUUGGGACCAGAUUCAGUCAGGUAAGUGCCUCCUUCCUUUCGUAUCAUCUGUACAUGCGAGAAUAUUGGUCUUAGUGAUAAUAAUUAGGUAGGAGAAUUUACUUCUGGUGUAUCGAGAGCCUCUUAAAUUUUCGGCAAAAGCUGUCUUUAGUCCAAAUCAUUUUCUUUUGUUAUUUUGUUGGUAAUCUUAAGCUCAGGGGGAAGUAUGGGUUGACUUUUGAAGUUUCGAAGAAACAUGUUCACAAUUUAUGUUUGAAUGCCAAGUCUACAGAGAUGUGUGUUGAAAAACACAAAUUAUCAAUAAUUAAUACGAGUGUCUUUCCUUUAAUAUUUCUUUCUUGAUGUAAAACAUCUACGUUUAUUUCAAUCUGUAUAACAUCUAUGUUUAUUGCAAUCUGUAUAACAUCUCAUUCAAAGUUCAUAUUUUGAAUCUACUCAAAUUGAUUUUUUUUAUAAAAUUUUAUAUCAAGCAAACAAAAUAUGCCAAGAAAAAAAAUCAAUAUAUUAUUUUUGAUGAAAUUUCAAAUUUAUUGAUCUAUAAAAAAAAAUGUUAUUUACAAACGCACAAUGCUUUUAAAUAAAAGAAUAGCCUUAGUGUGGUAUGGACACUAAAGUGUGACUUGGAACCAUCCUCUUAUUAACCCCUCCAGUUUGUGGCCCGGUUUGUAUCUGAGUGAACAUAUCCGAUUUCUGACUGCUUUAUCUAUGCGUCGUUGCAAUUGAUCAAUAGAGGUCCAAUUCUGUUGAUGACGCCUUGCAUUUCUCUCCCGCCAUAUGUGAUACACUAUAGUUUGGAACAGCAUCUUUGCAAAAAUGUAGUCGAGACUCUUCCCUCCCAUUUGCUGCAAUCGUGUUUGAGUAUGGACAUGCGAAGAAGAGAUGGUCUCUUGUUUCAUCUCUCUCCUCAUAAAGCUCACAACCCUGCAUUAUACCCCAAUCUCUCAUACGAUCUUCUGUUGACAGCCUGUUCCGGACAGCUAACCAGGUGAUAAAGAAGUAUCGAGGGACCCCUUGUGCGAACCAGACCAUUCUGCUCCACUCCACUUUAGUUCGCUUAACUCUGAGUUGAUCCCAAGUCCUAACAGCUGAGAAAGUAGGUCUGUAGUCAUCAUCCCCAUGUUUCCACAUUAUAAUAUUUCUUCCUUUAUUAGGUGAAGGGGGUGCAAUUGCCAAGAUACUAUCGUAAAGAUCAUGGAAUCUCCGGCUUCUCCUUCCUCUAAUGUUCCACUCAUUACCUGUCACUGCAUCACAAACCUUGGCAUGUUUCAGUACACCCAGAUAAGUGGUGCCAGCUGCUCCUGUGACAUCAAUAAGUCUCCCCUUAACCAGCCAAUCAUCAAACCAGAAAUGACUUGUCUUGCCAUCUUUAAUGUCAAUUCUAAGAAACUCACAAGCCACAUCUCUUAACUUCAAAAAUCAAUAUAUUUAAAAGAAAUGAAAAAUUGUAAUUCAAAAUUGCAGAAAAUAUUUUUUUUGGAAGCUUAAGUGAAAAAGCGAAACCAUUUAAAUGAAUAAUUGUAAUAUAUAUAUACGAAAAUUUGCGAAAGUUCAAGUCAACCAUUGCAUUCGUUAUUAACUAAUGUAACAGUUGUUGAUCAAUUUUUCACCAUUUGAUAACAGCCAUUGCAGCAUGAUUAAACAUUUGCGCUCUUGUGUUAUUUGUAAUUUCAAACCGGUUUGUAAAUAUUGCUGAACCACACGUAUU